UACGUAGGGUGCAAGCGUUAAUCGGAAUUACUGGGCGUAAAGCGUGCGCAGGCGGUGAUGUAAGACAGAUGUGAAAUCCCCGGGCUCAACCUGGGAACUGCAUUUGUGACUGCAUCGCUGGAGUACGGCAGAGGGGGAUGGAAUUCCGCGUGUAGCAGUGAAAUGCGUAGAUAUGCGGAGGAACACCGAUGGCGAAGGCAGCCCCCUGGGCCAAUACUGACGCUCAUGCACGAAAGCGUGGGGAGCAAACAGG
rnacentral:rRNA from 1 species